AUGGCAGCGGCGGCUGGCGAUGGGACGAGGAGGAAGACGGCGUGCGUCACCGGAGGGAGCGGCUACAUCGCGUCGGCGCUCGUCAAGAUGCUGCUGGAGAAGGGCUACGCCGUGAAGACGACGGUCAGGAACCCCGAUGACGGGGAGAAGAACGCGCAUCUCAAGACCCUGGCGGCGCUGGGGCCCUUGGAGGUCUUCCGCGCAGACCUGAACGAAGAGGGCAGCUUCGACGACGCCGUCGCCGGCUGCGACUACGCCUUCCUCGUCGCCGCUCCGGUGGCCCUCAUGCCAAAGAACCCCGAGGAAGAAGUGAUCCAGCCAGCGAUUCAAGGAACCCUGAACGUGAUGAGGUCGUGCGUGAAGGCGGGGACGGUGAAGCGCGUGGUGCUGACAUCGUCGACGGCCGCCAUCUCCAGCCGGCCGCUGGAAGGCGACGGCCACGUCCUGGACGAGGACUCCUGGUCCGACGUCGAGUACCUCAGGGCCACCAAGAGCGGUACCUGGGUGCGUACGGCGUACCCUGCCUCGAAGGUGCUCGCGGAGAAGGCGGCGAUGGCGUUCGCGGAGGAGAAGGGCCUCAGCCUGGUCACCGUGUGCCCCGUGGUCGUCGUCGGCGGGGCCCCGGCGACCAAGGUGAAGACCAGCGUCCCAGAAGUCCUCUCCUUGCUCUCCGGCGACGACGACAUGGUGGACAACCUGGAGCUGAUCGAGAAGGCGUCCGGGUCGAUCCCGCUGGUCCACAUCGACGACGUGUGCCGCGCCGAGAUAUUCGCCGCCGAGGUGGCCACGUCCGGGCGGUACAUCGUCUGCACCCUCAACACCACCGCCGUGGCGCUCGCCCACUUUCUGGCGGCCAAGUACCCGCAGUACGAGAUCAACGACGACCGCAUUGGUCAUCUUCCGGAGAAGCCGAGGGUGAGCAUCUGGUCGGACAAGCUCAUCAAGGAGGGGUUCGAGUACAAGUACAAGAACCUGGACGAGAUAUACGACGACCUCGUCGUGUACGGCAGGACCCUGGGACUCCUUAAAUACUGA
rnacentral:rRNA from 1 species